CAAACAUUUUCGAUGCCACAAAUGUUCAAAAAGAUACAAACUUAUGAACAGUCUUCGCAGACAUCUGAAGGUGGAGUGUGGAAAAGAAAAAAACGUCGUAUGCACAUUUUGCCCUUACCGGUUUUACUAUAAGCAGGAAUUACAUUAUCACAUGUACAACAAACAUAAAGAAAAUUUGAAAGGAAUGUUUUUCACAGAAUGAUGGAAAUAAGGACUUUAAUCUGAAUUGUGACUGAAAUAUAACUUGUAAUAAUAAUUUUAAUGAGUUUUUGAAGACUUCAUAGGUACUCGAUUGUGAUUCGAGAGUGUCCACAUUUUAAUGGGAUUGUAUUGUUAACUUUUAAACAAUGAGAGUUAGAAGGUCGAGAAGAAGUUGCAUUCCUAGAAGCAUUGUCAAGUAGUUCAAAUAAAUCAAAAAUAUCAGGGCCAGUUAUUGAAGUUUCAUAAAAAAGGACUAUUUCAGUGUAAUACCUGCCAAAAAACGUAUAAGCAUAAACGAUCGCUACAGCGACAUUGGAAAUUUGAAUGUAACCAAGAACCCAAGUUCGUUUGUGUUGAAACAGGUUGUGACUACAAGGCUUUUCAAAAAGUUCUUCUGCACAGACACAUCCUACUGAAACAUUCUGGGGAGAUCUUCUGAUUGAGUCAUAAAAUUACGCACUGUACGAUAUGUGAGGUAUUUGUCAACGUACUGAAUAUGUAUGAAUGUUUUUAUAUAAAAGGCUUUCACGACCGAAGUCAUGAUUGAAAAUAACAAAAUCCGUGGUCGAAUGGAAAACAGUCGUUGCUGAGAACUUCGUCUGCGCAAUCAACGCACAUAUCACUGUUUAUGUCUGCCAAAGUAACAGACGAAACGUUUAAUACUUUGGAUUCUAUUCGAUCACAGUCUACCAGUCUGGAUUUUAUCCUUUUUGAAAAUUAUGUAUUGUUUUGUUACAAACGAAUAUAAGAUCUUGAUUGUAAUACUGAAAUGUAUGUUGUAUGUACCUUAUAAUAGAAAAUAUAUAUUGUUUUAUACUUA